GGCCACCUGAAACUAACACAGCACUGUAUGUUAACUAAGUGGAAUUAAAAUAAAAACUUAAAAAAAAAAAAAAAAGACAAAACCAGGCCAAAAGAUUCAUUGUGAAACAGCACCCAGGGCCUUGGAAUAAAUUGUGAUCAGCCUUAGAUUGGGUCACCAUGAUGUCAUAAUGCAUACGUGGGUACCACAGGCCAAUACUCUAUUGUGUCCUCCAUCCAUGUUCUUUCAGGUGAUCUUCUCAACGAUAUGCAAUCAGUGUUUUUAUCGUCUGGACUUUAAAGACGAGAAGACUGAGGUUCAGAGCCGUUGAGUGGCUUGCCCAAGGUCACACAGCCACUUAAUGACCUAUUCAAGGCCCGGACCCAUAUCCAUCCAGUUUUCCUCUUUACACUUACAUGUAUGCAGUUGUCCCCUAACCAGACCGUAAGCUCCAUGACAAAAGGGUUUGGAUUCCCACGUCUGAAAUGGUGCCAGCAUCCAGGCGCAGAAUAGGCUCUCGAUAUUUACUUCAUCACACCCCAGCGCAAGCUUCCCGUCGGUCACACGUCUCCCUGAUAGGCCCCUGCGCCGAAACGCCCCGUGCCCCUUGGCACCCACGAUCAUGACGAAGGCAUCCAUCCUCCAUCUUGUCAAACAGCUGUCACACCUUGACAGCAGAUGGCCUUGGCAAUCUUGGCAAUCCAGCCGGACAAGUUUCUACCUGAACUUUGGCUCAGCCAGUGCCUGGAUGGAGGAGUCAGAAAGGAGACCUAGAAAGGAAAGUACCUUCUGUUUUCUCAUUCCCAACCACACAGGGCUGGGGGAAAGAGAUAUGCUAAUGGCCGUGGGGAAACACCAGUGGGAACAUGCCUGCUUUGGACAGAUAGGAGCUAGGGUCCCCCACUGACCCCCUUGCCUCCAGGUAUGCCUGCACACAACUCACCUGCGACAGACCUGUUCUUCCACAGCCCCGAGACAGGAAGUGCUCUGAUAUCAUAUCUAUCUGCCACGUUGAGUCCCUCCCCAUGGGCAACGCCACAGGGGUGGGGAAAUCCAACAAUCGGAUGAUUCUCUCCAGGGGCUCGGGAUGGAGCAAGCAUCCGUUCUCAGCCCAGCUUCUCAAAUGUAUGUGUUGUUACUGCUGCUAUUUUCAAGGACCUGCUCUAUUUACGCCUCACUCCUCGUUGCUCCUCCUAGGACAAGAGAACUGAAUAAAUAAAGAAGGCAGGCUUAACCCCUCCCUUGGCAGGGAUAGGAAUUUGCCAGAGUCGAGUGGGAGCAGAAAGUCCGCAAGACACAUACCUUGGGCCCACAAAAUGCUUUAUAUUUGGCAAAGCAUUUGCUCAUGUAAGCCCCGCGGCUGUGAGAUAUGAAGUCCAUGUUACAGGUACGAACACAGAGGCGAGGCCAAGGCCACAAAGAUUGCUCUAAGCCAUCUUUCGUCUCCUUGUCACCCGGGUUCUCGGUGCCUGGAGAGCAGGAGAAGAGAAACAGUGGUGCUAACGGGCCCCACCACUGGCGGCACUGCCCGCUUGGUAGAAGGCGGCCUGUCGCUGAGGCUCCCGUGUCCUGCUCUCCCUCCCCUCUGUGAGGGCUGGGGCGGAUAAAGGGCCCGCGGAGCCAAUCCUAUGUGCCAACUUGACUGGGCCAUGUGUGCGGUGCCCAGACAGUUAGUGGAACAUUAUCCUGGGUGUGUCUGUGAGGAUGUGUGGAGAGGAUUUACCAUCUGAAUGGAAACAUCGGCUCCUCCUGGGCCUGAAGCCCUAGCCGGAAGGCACCGCCAGCUUCCCCGCGGCACCAGCUGGCCCACUCCUGAUCUUGGGACUUGUCAGCCUCCAUAAUCACGUGGGCCAGCUCCUUGGCGUAAUUCUCUUUCCAUUUCGAUGUAUCUAUAUCUACACCUAUUGGUCGUUUCUCUGGAGAAUCCUGACUCACACAGAGCCCCGGACGGGCUCUGAACGGGAAGAUGAGCUACAAAGCCAGGCUGGGCUGCGGCAGGCGGGGACCUCCCAUCCUGGCAUCCAUCAAGAAAGGAGGUGUUAUUAAAAUUAAAAAAAAAAAAAAGGAAGGAAGGAACGAAGGAAGGAAGGGUUUUCUGCUCUCUUGCACAGACUCUUCCUCAGAAACUGCCCUUUCUCUCCUAAAGCAUUUCUCCAAAAAUAUUCACUGAUACCUGCCUUGUAGAGGUGCUGUUUUUGGAGUAUGAGUAUAUCAGUGAAUGAAACGGACCAAGAUCCCUGCCCUCAGGACACACAGUUCCCACUGCAGAUGUAAUAAGGAACUUAGAUAAUAUAUUGCAAGGGGAGAAAUAGGAGGAAAAAAUUAAAGAUUGACUAGGGUAAGGGGGACCGGGUGUAGCGAGGUGGGGGACAGGUGUUGUGCUGAGCAGGUGACCAAGGAGGGUCACGGUGGGAGUGAGAUGUGAGAGGUACUGAAGGAGGCAAAGGGGUCAACCAAGCAGGUAUUUGGAGGAAGAGCACUCCAGGCAGGGAACAGUCAGUACAAAGGCCCUAAGGGGGGAGAUGCCUGGUGGGCACAAGGAAUUGGAAUGAGGUCAGUGUGGCUGGCACAGUGAAGGUGAAGAGGGCAGAGGGGCAGGCGAUGGGGAUGAUGUCACAGAGGCAGGAUGGUGCAGGGCCAUCGGAAAGAUUUGAAAGGGAAGCCAUGGCAGGGCUUCCGGCAGAGGAGGACAUGAUCUGCUUUGGGUUUUAAAGGGAUCUCCUUGGCAAUCUCUUGACCCCUUUUUGUAGGGGCGGGGGGAGGAGAGAGUCAAGGAUAGAAGCAGGAAGACCAGUUAGGAAGGUCUUGCCAAAAUCCAGACCAGAGAUGGUGGUGGCCCUGCCCAACGUGGUGUCAGUGGUCAGGUUCCAGAUGGAGUCAGGCGGAGAUGCCCCCCAGAGGAGAGUAUGUGUUUUCUGGUCUUGAGUCCUGCUCUCUGCCCAGGGACAUGCCCUAAGGUGUCUUUAGGGUCCCCUCCCCUCCCCCCCCCCAUCCCGGAUAUCCCUAGUCACAACUGGGAAGAGUCUUUUUAUGAAUGGAGCUGGGGAGAAUGAUGAGAAGGUCAAGUUCUAUUCUCUUCCCCAACAUCUGGAGCAGCAUUAAGGGCUGAUGAUACCAUUCAAGUCCUAGAGCCAGGUGGGGGACAAAAAGGAAAGGGAUAGUGGUCUCUUCCAUAAGUAUAGUCAGUAGUGUGCUGGUGAAUGUUUGACAAUUGGCUCUCCAGGAAAAAAAGUGUGUAAUUUUAUGAUAUGUGUGUAAUUUUACUGAUAAAAAAAUAUGUUGCAUAUAUUUUACAAAUACUAGGGCACCCUUGGUGGCUCAGAUGGUAAUACUUCUGACUUCAACUCAGGUCAUGAUCUUACAGUUCAUGAGUUUGAGCCCCCUGUCGGGCUCUGCACUGACAGCUCAAAGCCUGGAGCCCGCUUCCGAUUCUGUCUCCCUCUCUCUCUGCCCCUUCCCUGCCUGUGUUUUCUCUCUCUCUCUCUCUCUCUCUCUCUCUCUCUCUCUCUCAAAAAUAAAUAAAACUUUAAAACAAAUACUAAUAAAAUACACAAUAGCCUUUACUGUAAAUUCUAUAACCAAUUGGUUCUCACAAAAUGCUCCUGUUGAUUUUUGGAGAACUCGUAUCUGUAACCAAUGUAUGGUUGCAAUUGACAAAUGAGUGUAGUUCCCACAUGAAUGUUGGUUGAUAUUUGUAUUUACAUUAAUGGGUAAGAAGAAAGUGAACCAGCAAAGAUGUUCCUUGGGACUUCCUUCUGUUAGUCAAUGAUGUGAACGACAUCUUUGCCGCAUCUGAUUACUAGUCUUCAAUUACUGCGAGAAUAUUUCCUCGAUUUCUUGUGCCAUUUACAAUGUAAUAGCUACACACCCAAAACACUUUUAAGUUAAAUCUGCAUUAUUAAGAUUUUCCCCAUCACUGUUUAAGUCUAAACAAACAACAAACCAUCAAAGGAAGUCCUGACUUAAAGCAUUUGCCAAUUUCCAUCUCGUGAAUACUCCCACCCUGGCCGAUUUCAAGCUACCAAGGUGACAUUACUGAAUGUGAACUUGGAAAGGGAUUCUUAGCCAUGAGCCAUUAUAUAAUAUUUCCAACAUAAGAUACAGUUGAUGUAAAUAACCUCAAGCGUAAAGAUAAUAGUAAAAUGGAAUAAAAUAAUUAGGAGCUAGUAAUGAGUUUUGAGUAUUUAUUACCUUUGCGUUUAAUAUAGCUUAUUUAAUUGUAAGUUUAUAUAAUUUAAUUUUUAAUAAUGGCUGUGUUUAUCAACCAGCUUGCAAAAUCACUGGAAGUUUAACAGUCGACCCUCGUGAGCCAAUGCGAGCAGCCCUAGUGCCCCGUCGACCGUACGGUACUUUCUCAGACAUCGCUCAUCUUCCCACUGAGAGAUCUGCUAGCUACCUAUCAAAAACUGGGGACACUGGGGCUGAGGGGGUGAGGUGAGAUGCCCAAGGCACCUAGCAGCUGAUGUCCUCAAGCAAGGGUGGCCUCAGGAAAAAGUAGCUGGUCUGGGGUUGGGGAGGGUGGGGGAAAUGCAAGAGGGCCAGAGGAAGUUUCACACGAGGGCAGUGAGGUCAGCGAAGGUUGUGGAUGAGAGAGAGUUCAAGCCUGUCCUCACAUCGCCAUCACCAAUUCCCCUCAAGCUGCCUAGGCUGGCCUCUUAGAACAGGAUCUUGGCGGAUCUUCGUGGAGAGGUAGCUGCACCCUAGUUGCAUAGGCUGUGGUUGAUCAACAGCUUAGCUGCAAGUCACUCGCCAAUCAACAUAAACACCAAGUUCGUCUGCAUGAUGGACAAUCUGCGAGCACCAGCCCCCUCAGAGUCAGUGUAUGAGGAUCAGGCCACAGGGAGUCAGGCAGAGUGUCUGGCUGUAUCUGCCCAAUGCACUAGUGUUUCACUGUCCCAGAACUUAGAGAAGGGCCAAGAGAAGAGUUGAGAGGCAGGAGCUGGCAACCCAAAGAUCAUAGGUGCACCUGCUGGGUAGGACCUGGUUUCCCUGGGGACAGCCCUACUGUCCAGGGCCCUGUUUCAGCUCCCAAGUUCCUUCUCUACGCACCAGUGCCUCCAAAAGGCCCAAAUGACCUUCGGGGCCCCAGAAAUGAGAGUUUUGGUGGCGAGGCCGGGCCCUCCCAAGCCUCCCCAGGCCCACCCAGGUCCUGGACGUGAAGGGAGAGCGCUGUGUCAUCCUGAACAGCCAGCGAGGCCAAAUGGUGGCCAAAGUGCAGUCACUCAGGUUUCGCCCAGCUUAAAAGCUGAGGGCAGAGCAGGCGUCCUUGGGUUCUGGACCCUGAAACAGGUGAGGGCAGCAGAGAGAGUGUAGUCUGGGUCUGGCCGGAAAGUGGUCUACACCCUGGCUUGUAAGCACAGAAAGGAGAGCCCCCAGCCCACCGCUGUCUUUUCUGAUUCCAUUAGCUGUGUGACCGUGGGCAGGUUAAAAAACUUCUCUGAGUUUCCAGUUUCUUCAUGUUACAAGAAAUGAGUUAAUAAUACAAUAAAUCCUUGGCUUCCGUGAAUUUAA